rnacentral:misc_RNA from 1 species
GGGGGAGGAGGUUUUGCAAACAAUUGAUUUAAAAGAAAGUCACAACUCACAUGGAUCAUGCCAUGUGCAUGAAAAAUGGGAAGCUUGCAUUGAAAACUGAUGUUAGGCAUACAAUUUUUCAGUUAUACAGACAAAAAACAGCCCGUAUGACAUUCAAAUUUAUAGCUCACAAGUUCUGCUAGCUGCAAGAAUCAUAAAAUGCAGCUCUUUUUCUUCUCAGAUGGUUCAUCUUUCUCCCUGCACUCUUCCCCAUCUACUUGAUUUUCUGUUGAAUCAGCAUCGCAUCUUUUCCUUUGGGGGAUUACUUGCAAGAAUGAAGCCUUCCAAUCUCUUGUUUCCAAGAACUUAAGGAGUAUCUCUAUCACUUGGUUUACUGUAAGGACCUGCACUACAAUAAACAAUAUGCAGUGUUAGGGUAGAAUGACGAAGAUAUUUGUGGAUCUUGACUCAUCUGUUUCAGGGAAAAUCAACAUGCCACAAGAUGAGAUAAGGAAUAUACUCUAUCCUAAGCUGAGGCCUAGUAUUGGAUGAUGAAAAUAUGUCAUCUAGCAACUUUAUUAGCAAUCAAACUUUGUAGAUAUAAUGUUCUUUGAAUAAUUAUGGAGAGAUAGUGUUGCAUGCAAGUAAUGCCCAAGAGAGAAUUUAGAUUAAGUGGGAGAAGAGUAGGAUAGUGAUAACAAGAGGGCGUUAUUGAUCUAAAAAUGUGCAAGUCCAAAAAUUACUUAAGCUAUGAACAAAUAGGUAAGUGUCCUGUUAAGAACAAAUAGGAAGGUGACGUGUAUAAGAGAAUACACGACAUUUAAGCUCCCUAAGAAAGGUUGAAGACAGACACGCUCUCAUUAACGAGUCCCACUUCGAGCCACCAAGACAAAACUCUGUACAUCAUCCCACUAAUCUAGUAGUACUGAAAUCCCACCACUAAUAUCAAAAUUUAUUUAAUGUAUAGCUUGAUCUAUAUCUUCCAGAAUUUAACUACCCAAGAUGCGUGAUUGGGUUGUUUCCCCAAAUAAAUGAUCCAUAGACAUGCCAACAUAUGCAUGUUUAAUAUUUGCAUAAUAAAAAUAUAACAUAUCAUAUAUUUUCAUGCAUCUACAAACUUAAGAAUUGAAAAAUUAAAAUAAGAGAAAAACACAAUAAAAUGCAUAAGAUAAGGCUGGAUUGGUUUCUUUAGCUACAAGAGGAUCAAAAUGAUUAGACGUUACAAAUGCAUAAAAAUAAAAUCCAAGAGCUAAAUAUUUAUAUGCAUGUAAAUAUUUCCUAACAUAAUCUUCUUCCUUGCAUCCCUAACUUAAGGACAGUGACUUGGGACAAAGAUAAAUACUGCUUGUCUACGCACUCUAACUAAAUCUCCAUGCAAACUCAUUUCUGUCUGCAUUCUACAGUCUUUUUAUUACUUGUAUGCUCUAAUUUGUGGCACACAACUUCACAGAUUAGGAACAGCUCCAGCACUUCCUCUCAUGCACAUUGGACAAUAAAGAGAAACUACAGAACAUAACCAUAUAAUUCUAGCCCACUUUUGCAUUGUUUCACUAUGACAGUGAAAUUCACAUUCCUAGUUUGUAAUUUGCCUUCAAUUUGAGAAAUUUUGUAUAGACUCUAUUCAUUCAACAUAUAAAAUGCCUUCAGACAAAUGUAAGUAACAAUCAACUUGGAAUCUAGAUGAGAAAAGUGCCAACACAGAGACCAACAUCACCUGAGAACUUGACAUCUUCAAGUGAUUGUCUAUGGGUAGUUUUGCAGUUUGGAUUCCCUGUUCUUGUGCUUUCUUCAUGGUUAACCCUUUCCACCGAUUCCGAUCCACUAACCCACCAACAAUAUAUAUUUUUUUGGGAUCAAGUUCAUCCAACUCCAUUUCAGCAUCUGCUGUAAGAUAAACUAGAUUUUCUUUCUGAUCUUCCAAUGCUUCAACAUAAGAUCGACAUUCUUUCUCAAUUAUCCAUUUGUCAAAUCCUGGAAGCCUUUGCAAUUCGUUCUCCAUUUCCCCCCUGCAACCCGUCAACCAGAGGUGACCAGGAGAAGCGCAUCUUCCAUUCACCGCAUAGCAAUACAUAAUCUGUUGAACAAGGCUGUGGAUCUCAGAGGAGGUCAUGAGGUGAGAGAAUUCGAGAUCAAUGACGAUUUUUUGGCCGUUGGUUUUGGCUCCGGUAAGCCUCUGUAUCUUGCUUUCCCUUUCCUCAGAUCGUUUCUCCAUUCUCUCCUUCCUAAGCUUUCUUCUCGACUCGAUGAGCGUUAACCUCUCCUCUUCCGAGACACCGGUGAGGGUUUCCUCCCAUUCUUUGCGCUUUCUCUCGGCCUCUCGCUUCUUCUGCUCUUUAAUUGAGGCUUUUUUCUCCGCCUUCUUGGCCUCGUAUUUCUGCAGCUUCAACAGCUUCUUUUGGGCAUUUUUUGAGAGAGGAGGAGGUGGUUGCUCAUCUUGUGGAGGACUUGGCUGGAACUCGGACGGGUUCACGAUGGGAUUUUGAUCAAUUUGCGUGGCAUCGCCCGCCAUUGCUAUGGUUGCAGCGGCAGAGCCUUGUACUUUGAGCUGGGUUAAGAUUUAGCAGGAAAAGAGGGCGUUUUAGGGUUUC